ACUCCUACGGGAGGCAGCAGUGGGGAAUAUUGCACAAUGGGCGCAAGCCUGAUGCAGCCAUGCCGCGUGUGUGAAGAGGCCUUCGGGUUGUAAAGCACUUUCAGUUGUGAGGAAGGUGGUGUCGUUAAUAGUACGGCAUCAUUUGACGUUUAGCAACAGAAGAAGCACCGGCUAACUCCGUGCCAGCAGCCGCGGUAAUACGGAGGGUGCGAGCGUUAAUCGGAAUUACUGGGCGUAAAGCGCAUGCAGGUGGUUUGUUAAGUCAGAUGUGAAAGCCCCGGGCUCAACCU
rnacentral:rRNA from 1 species